CUGUAUGGUAGCGUGGGUGAUUUCAUCCAUGAGGAAAGUCCGAGCAUCACAGGGCAGGAUAGUUGCUAACGGCAACCGGGGGCGACCUUAGAGCAAGUGCAACAGAGAGAUACCGCUUUCUUCGGAAAGUAAGGGUGGAAAGGCGUGGUAAGAGCACACCAGAGCAUAGGUGACUAUGCUGCUAUGUAAACCUUAUCCGAUGCAACGUCUAUUGGUACGCACGUUCAACAUUGGCCCGAUGGGACGCUGCGUAAUGACGGCUAGAGCUGUGCGGCGACGUACAGUCGAGAUAAAUUACCAUACUCGACAGAACUCGGCUUAUAGGUUCGGUC
rnacentral:RNase_P_RNA from 1 species